CGGACGUCUCAGUUCGGAUUGCAGGCUGCAACUCGCCUGUAUGAAGUCGGAAUUGCUAGUAAUCGCGGAUCAGCAUGCCGCGGUGAAUACGUUCCCGGGCCUUGUACACACCGCCCGUCACACCAUGAGAGCCGGAACACCCGAAGUCCGUAGUCUAACCGUAAGGAGGACGCGGCCGAAGGUGGGUUUGGUAAUUGGGGUGAAGUCGUAACAAGGUAGC
rnacentral:rRNA from 1 species